rnacentral:rRNA from 1 species
GACGAACGCUGGCGGCGUGCCUAACACAUGCAAGUCGAACGGAGCUUUGAAGAGAGCUUGCUCUCAUUAAAGCUUAGUGGCGAACGGGUGAGUAACACGUAGGGAACCUACCUAUACGACGAGGAUAACUACUGGAAACGGUAGCUAAAACUGGAUAGGAUCAAUUGAGGCAUCUUGAUUGAUUUAAAGAUCCUUCGGGAUUACGUAGAGAUGGCCCUGCGGCGCAUUAGCUAGUUGGUGAGGUAACGGCCACCAAGGCGACGAUGCGUAGCUGAGCUGAGAGGCUAAACAGCCACACUGGGACUGAGACACGGCCCAGACUCCUACGGGAGGCAGCAGUAGGGAAUUUUCGGCAAUGGGGGAAACCCUGACCGAGCAAUGCCGCGUGAACGAUGAAGGUCUUCGGAUUGUAAAGUUCUGUGAUUGGGGAAGAAUGGUAUUCUUAGGGAAUGAGGAGUACAUGACGGUACCCGAUUAGAAAGCCCCGGCUAACUAUGUGCC